rnacentral:rRNA from 1 species
GAUGAACGCUGGCGGCGUGCCUAAUACAUGCAAGUCGAGCGAACAGACGAGGAGCUUGCUCCUUUGACGUUAGCGGCGGACGGGUGAGUAACACGUAGGUAACCUACCUAUAAGACUGGGAUAACUUCGGGAAACCGGAGCUAAUACCGGAUAAUAUUUCGAACCGCAUGGUUCGAUAGUGAAAGAUGGCUUUGCUAUCACUUAUAGAUGGACCUGCGCCGUAUUAGCUAGUUGGUAAGGUAACGGCUUACCAAGGCAACGAUACGUAGCCGACCUGAGAGGGUGAUCGGCCACACUGGAACUGAGACACGGUCCAGACUCCUACGGGAGGCAGCAGAAGGGAAUCUUCCGCAAUGGGCGAAAGCCUGACGGAGCAACGCCGCGUGAGUGAUGAAGGUCUUCGGAUCGUAAAACUCUGUUAUUAGGGAAGAACAAACGUGUAAGUAACUGUGCACGUCUUGACGGUACCUAAUCAGAAAGCCACGGCUAACUACGUG